AGAGCAGAGGAAGUGAAUUACGAUGUCGGUGACAAUGGCGGCUAUACUCAGCAAAGCCGAAGACAACUAAUGAAGAGUGAUUUUCUCCUUUUCCUUCGAAGCAAGAACAAAACCGGAUUCGUCGACGGCACAAUCCAAACACCAGAACCUUCCUCGCCACUGUAUCAUCCAUGGGAGACAUGUAACGCGAGGGUAAAGUGUUGGAUGAGGAGCUCAUUGAGCGAAGAGCUUCUAAUCUAUGUAACCUUCUCGGAGACUGCUCAUAAAUCUUGGGAAGAUCUCCGAGUUUUGUUUGUGCCGAGUGUUGAUUUCAAGAUCUACGAGCAUUCCAAACGUUUCUCAUGUAAGGUGUAAUCACUCAAUUUCACGUUUCCCAUGUGCUCAGGGCGGUUAUACUGAAAUUGGACUACGACGUGAUUGCAACUUACAUGGGUAACGUUUGGAAUGCUCUGUUUACCGCCUAGGCAGACCAAACUCCAGUCGAGUUUAUAGUGAUGUCGAUGUCUCUUUUCUUGGUCUUCCACGGAACAGAUCAACUUGUGGACUCUGUCAAUUCCGGGAUACUUAUCUGACGAGCACUUAUGUUUCGUUGUUUUGACUGUCAAGGCCUCUAGCUCCGCAGCUACUUCUUUCAUCCUUGGCCUUUCUUCUCCCAUCAAUCUUGUACACUCAACAUCAACAAUACAAACAAGAAAUUGCAACUACAGCUACUUCCUUUCCUCUCCCGUCACUCUUGUACAGUCAACAACAACUCUGGCCGUUUCCGUGGAUCUCUCUUUGAUUCCUGUUCCCAUUUCCCAAGAAAUUGCACGAUUCUGAAAUUCUACAACACAAACAAGACCAUGACCAUGUCCAUGUAGCACGAGGAUAACGUUUAAGUAUGCUUCAUAUUCCCAUAUAUAUAGUUUAUGACAAGUGGGGAGGCUGCAAUCUUCAAAUGGGAAGAAAUGGUAAUAUAUAAUUGAAUAGUGGACACUGCUCAACCCUCUUCGUUAAACUCUACUCUAAUUCUUUCCUUGAUGUACCCUUUUUCUUAACAGUUAUUUUAGUUGAUUUUCUUUUUCACAUAUGAAAAAAAUUGAUUAAUAGGGAAGAUGUAGACGAAGACUUCUCACAACAUCAUCCUCUGUUUUCUUUUGAUGCUUUUUGUUGGAAACAGUUGUAAUGGUCCUUUACGAAUUUGUUUUUGUGGCCUUUAUAACAUAUCACACUUACAAUA